UACGUAGGGGGCAAGCGUUGUCCGGAUUUAUUGGGCGUAAAGAGCGUGUAGGCGGCCUGAAAGGUCAGCUGUGAAAACUCGAGGCUCAACCUCGAGACGUCGGUUGAAACCAUCUGGUACGUAGUCGGCGAAGAGGAGUGUGGAAUUCCCGGUGUAGCGGUGAAAUGCGCAGAUAUCGGGAAGAACACCCGUGGCGAAGGCGGCACUCUGGGACGGUACUGACGCUGAGACGCGAAAGCGUGGGGAGCGAACAGG
rnacentral:rRNA from 1 species